rnacentral:rRNA from 1 species
AGAGUUUGAUCCUGGCUCAGAACGAACGCUGGCGGCGUGCUUAACACAUGCAAGUCGAACGGGAUUAGGGGCUUGCUCCUAAUCUAGUGGCGCACGGGUGAGUAACGCGUGGAUAACCUACCCUGGUAUCUGGGAUAACAUCUCGAAAGGGGUGCUAAUACCGGAUAAGCCCACUGUCUCUUUGGAGAUUGCGGGAAAAGAUGGCCUCUGCAUAUGCUAUUGUAUCAGGAUGGGUCCGCGUACCAUUAGCUAGUUGGUGGUGUAAUGGACCACCAAGGCGACGAUGGUUAGCUGGUCUGAGAGGAUGAUCAGCCACACUGGAACUGAGACACGGUCCAGACUCCUACGGGAGGCAGCAGUGGGGAAUUUUGCGCAAUGGGGGAAACCCUGACGCAGCAACGCCGCGUGAGUGAUGAAGGCCUUCGGGUCGUAAAGCUCUGUCAGAGGGGAAGAAGUGAUAGUGUGCUAAUACCGCAUUAUCUUGACGGUACCCUCAAAGGAAGCACCGGCUAACUCCGUGCCAGCAGCCGCGGUAAUACGGAGGGUGCAAGCGUUGUUCGGAUUUAUUGGGCGUAAAGCGCGUGUAGGCGGUCUUUUAAGUCUGAUGUGAAAGCCCCGGGCUCAACCCGGGAAGUGCAUUGGAAACUGGGAGACUUGAAUACGGGAGAGGGUAGUGGAAUUCCUAGUGUAGGAGUGAAAUCCGUAGAUAUUAGGAGGAACACCGGUGGCGAAGGCGGCUACCUGGACCGAUAUUGACGCUGAGACGCGAAAGCGUGGGGAGCAAACAGGAUUAGAUACCC